GAUGAACGCUGGCGGCGUGCCUAAUACAUGCAAGUCGAGCGAACAGAUGAGGAGCUUGCUCCUCUGACGUUAGCGGCGGACGGGUGAGUAACACGUGGAUAACCUACCUAUAAGACUGGGAUAACUUCGGGAAACCGGAGCUAAUACCGGAUAAUAUAUUGAACCGCAUGGUUCAAUAGUGAAAGACGGUUUUGCUGUCACUUAUAGAUGGAUCCGCGCCGCAUUAGCUAGUUGGUAAGGUAACGGCUUACCAAGGCAACGAUGCGUAGCCGACCUGAGAGGGUGAUCGGCCACACUGGAACUGAGACACGGUCCAGACUCCUACGUGAGGCAGCAGUAGGGAAUCUUCCGCAAUGGGCGAAAGCCUGACGGAGCAACGCCGCGUGAGUGAUGAAGGUCUUCGGAUCGUAAAACUCUGUUAUUAGGGAAGAACAAAUGUGUAAGUAACUAUGCACGUCUUGACGGUACCUAAUCAGAAAGCCACGGCUAACUACGUG
rnacentral:rRNA from 1 species